rnacentral:rRNA from 1 species
GAAUUUGUAUCCUGGCUCAGGAUGAACGCUAGCUACAGGCUUAACACAUGCAAGUCGAGGGGCAGCAUGAACUUAGCUUGCUAAGUUUGAUGGCGACCGGCGCACGGGUGAGUAACACGUAUCCAACCUGCCGAUGACUCGGGGAUAGCCUUUCGAAAGAAAGAUUAAUACCCGAUGGCAUAGUUCUUCCGCAUGGUGGAACUAUUAAGAAUUUCGGUCAUCGAUGGGGAUGCGUUCCAUUAGGUU